UUUAGGACUACCAAUUGGUAUUUCUUCAAUUGACCACCAUAACUUAGGGUUUUUGGUUUGAAUCAGGGGUUCCUUUUUAUUUCAAUUUUUCAACUCAAGAGUUCAAUUGCUCUGAUUAGUUUGGUUUCUCUCUUUGUUUCAGGGUUCUGAGAGAGAUUCUUGUAGUGUGUUAAAAACUCUAAGAAGAGUUAGCUUAUUGAUUCUGUUUGUGACCAUGUGCACAGGCUCCAGUGCUCUGCAACUGUUUAUCCUCUUUCUCACCCACAACCCAAGUGUAUCAAAACUACCAUAUUGGUAAUAUUUCUCUCCCUCCCUCCCUCUGUUCUUGUUAUAUGUACUGUCUACAGUAAUUUUUUUGUCUUAGAAUCAGGCAAGUGUUUGCUUUGUCCAAGGUCGUACAAAAGCUAUAAUGUUUUCUUAAAUAUGAAACACAUGUACAGCCACUAGGCUUCUUGGAGUUGGGAGGCAAUGGGUCCUCUUACAUUAUUUGUUGAUAUGAAAAGCUCUUCUUCAGGUUAACUAUCCCCCUCAUUUUUCAUUCAAGCAUUCUUUUGACAUUUUCUUAUGGUUCAAUUGUUUAUUAGAAUUAGCCAAAUGGUACCAAUGACUAUUUUGGGCUUCCAAGUGGUAACACCCAACUUUUGACUUCAUCCAUCACAUACCACUCUGUUAAUCAAACGUUAAUCAAGCUGUUAAGUAGUAAUUAAAACCAUAUUUCCCUCCAAAAUACUGUUACCAGCAAGUUAAUACAAUAUCCAAAACAACCAACAAGUCUGAAUCAAUAAUGAACUACAAGAGUUUCACAAAUUUCCCAAAAUAUGUUCUAACCAUUUAAAGCAUAAUAAGCAUAAUAAAACAGGUCAGAUUUAAGGCUGAGAUUGAGAUGGUGGACAUUGAGACGUGUUGAUUUCAGUGGACUGUGAUGUGUUGCCCUCCUUAGUCUGAUUUGAAGCUUCCUUUUUUAGAGCUGCAGUUGCUUUCCUUGCCUUGGAUUGAUCCCUAAUUCUUGGAUGUCUAACCACUAUUGGUCCAUUCCCUGCUGCCUUCUUUUCUUUUGCAGUCAAACCUCCCUUGCAAGUUCUUGAAUUGUGGCCAAGGCAGUCACACUUAGUGCAUUUCACUGUUUUUGCUCUCUUCCCUUUCUGGUUUUUUCCUUCUUCCCUUCUCCUGUUUCUGCUUGGUCUCCCAACCCCUCUCUUCAUUGCAGGUGGCAUGACAAUAGGUAGAUCAUCAUAUGCAGGCCAUUGGCUUUGGUCAGGUAUGGGGUUAAUGCUAAAACUAUAAGAAAGCUUGUAUGUCCUAACAGAGUACCAUGCACUGACAACAUUGUGAGGAUCAAUCUUGGCAUGAACAAUAAUGUCCAGUAGUGAGGUUUUAUCUACAUCAACCUUAACCUCUACUUGAGUACCCAAGUGAAAAAUUAAUACUUUCUCCAUCUGCACAUAUGUUGACAAUCAUAUUACACCCAAUGCACCAGUUAACAGUUAUGAGUAUUAUACAUAUCAAUGUAUAUUAUGCAAACCCAAAAAACCUCAUUUACAGGGGAGUCAAAAAUCGUUCACUAUCAUACAUAAACACAUAUACACAGAUAAACUCGCACAUAUACACAGAUUAACCCUAAAACAAUGAAUUAAGCCGCGAAAGAUAUAUAUGUAUCGAUUAUAUAGAGUAAUUGAAGGUGAAAUGCAUACCUUAUACUUUGAUCAGUGUUGAAUUAAGUGGCGAGUGGCUGUAUUGUUCACUAUCUCGAUCGAUCCCCUCUUUCCAUGGAACCCUAAUCCUGCGUGUGUGUUUGGUUCUGUGACAUUAAACUCUCGUACCCGACUAAUGACCCAAAUUCAUGUUUUUUUACUUUUAAUUCAUUUUAUUUUAAUUACUUUUUUAAUUAAAUCAUAAUGGAUUAACGUUUUAUUAACGUUAACUAAACAGAGUGGUAUGUGAUGGAUGAAGUCAAAAGUUGGGUGUUACCACUUGGAAGCCCAAAAUAGUCAUUGGUACCAUGUGGAAAAGCCAAUUCUACAAUGGUACCAUUAGGAAUUUCCCUUAGAAUUAUAACUUUUGCUAAAGUUUUUUGCUUUUUAGUUAGUGAAUUAUAUAGUAAAAGCUGUGAUUGGAUUCUAUUGGUUUUAUAUUAUAACAUUCAUCUCAAUUGCAUUGUUCAUUUUUUGUGUCGAUUUCUAAGGCUUGAUUACUUUUCCGGAAAAACCAAAGCCAUGUGUAUUUUUGAUAUAUUCUUGACAAAGAAGAUAUGGAGGAGAUGAAUAUUUUAUAGAAUAUGUUUAACUUGAUCAGAUUUAUGUGCUUGAUGUAUAAUGUUUUCGUAUUCAAUAUAGUAAUUUGUUUUAUCAAGUGGAAACACUCGAAUAAACAUAGGAAAGCUUAAAGGUGUUUAGUCAGGAAGAAAAAAUCAGUAGAAAGAUUGAGUUGGUGGAAAGAAAUUGGAGAAGGGCAUUUGAUGAGUCAAUUCAGUGCUUCCUCCAGCGGCAAAACAAGUGAGAACUUCUUAAACUUCAAACACGAGGAAUGACAGGGAAGGCUAUUUGCACCCGUCUAAUAAUUUUCAGAUCUUUAACCUCGUCUAAUCUCUUCUCAAUACAUGACUUAUCUCUGGCGAGCUGUGAUUUAGAUGCUCCGACGACCUUCGACUUUUCUGGCGACGGAAAAGAAGUGUCGAGAUUUUCAUAGACGAAUCCAUCCCGUAUCCCGUGUUGUGUUUCGUGUCGUGUCGUGUGGACACGGGUACGGUCGCUGGAGUAGGCGAGUCGGAGUAACACAGUGUAUAUCAAUCUUCAAUAUCAUCGGUGGAUUACUUUCACAAACAAUGAAGAAAAUGCUUCAAAUUUACAACACCUCCCGAGUCAUCAAAGUAAUUUGUCCUGAAGGUUUAAAAUUAUGAAGAGGGCAAUGCCAUUGGAUGAUCAGAUGAACAUAUCUUCUGAUGAGUCAUUAUCUUCUGAACCAGACAUUGCAGAGUUGGCUGGCAAGCUUGUUCAGGACAUACCAAUUGAUCAACCAACUGACAUUGUUAUGACAACUGAUCUGGACGGCUUUCCCCUUUAGAAAAGAUCAUAUAUAAAUGGUGUAAAGUCAACGGAUUUGAGAUCACAAUGACCUCUUCAUAUACGGUCUUGGGUUGAUUUUCAAAAACAUAGAAAGAAAGAAAAGCACUCUGUUAAUCUGCCUAGAAUUGCUAGUCCAGUAAUGUCAACUGUGCUGCCUGCAGCACCACUGAACAUUUUCCCACAAGAAUUAUGUUGCAAAUAUGAGGGGACAAUUUAAAGUGGUUCCUGGGAGAUUUGGUCUUGGGGCAAUGGAAGUCCCCCGGCCCCCAGAGGUACUGGAAAGCGGUCACUUGAGCAGUGGUCUGCAGACUCUAUAUCAUGAACCAGCUGGUGCAACCGAGGCGUGAUACCAUCAAGCAGUCUCCUGAGUAGUGGGUGGCAGACUCUGAACUGUCACCCGAACAAUGGCCUGCAGGCCCUGAACCAAGAAAAUGCUGGUGAUACUGCGAUAGCGAUGUUGAUCUGGGAAAUCCAGUUAACAUGGACAGUCACAGCUUUGAAGAAGGCACUAGUGCAAAUCAAGUGCUGGACGAUCUGCCUAGUGAGGAGGAAGUUAGUAAUAUGAUACAGGAUCUUGAAGCCUAUGAUUUAUUUGAUUUGAUAAAUUAAAACCAAACAAAGGAGGAAUAUAGCGCAAGUUCGUUCUUUAAAGGCUUACUUGACUUGUCUGGCCGGCCCCAAAUGCUCAAGUUAAAUGAUUGACCUCAAUCUGGUUUUUGAGAAUCAUCUCCCAUGUCAUAAUGUGGAGUUCUUAAGUGCUUUGCCUUUCAAGGAGUACACACAUCCACAGAGCGGCUACUUGAACCUUGCUGUCAAGUUACCCGAGGGCCAUCUGAAGCGAGACAAAGGGCCAAAGCUGUAUACUGCUUAUGGCUUUUCCCAGCAACUCGGACGUGGUGACUGUCUCAAAACUCAGCUAUCAUAAUUCAGAUGCGGUAUGAUCUAGUUUGUAAAUAGAGUGAAUAACUUUCACAAACAAUGAAGAAUAUGCUCCAAAUUUACAACCUCUCCCAAGUUAAGUUGUUUUUGAUUGUGCAAACAAUUUUGUUACCCAUGCAAUGUAUAUAUCAAUGUAUGUCAUACAAUCACCUCCAACCAUUUAUCAAUUAUCGUACUUCAUAAAUAUGACUUA